AAAUAUUUACUUGUAUUGUCUGUUCCUUUUAGUCUUCCCCUGAUGUGUCUAUUGUUGGGGAGUUCUCCUCUGUGAACUCUGUGGAAACCACUGGUACAAGUACAUCCAGAAAGCCUUCCUGUGAUAUGUCUGAAUUAUCUGGAGUGAACUCUUCUGUGGCAGCCAAUAGUAACAGUACAUCUGUGUCUAAGGGCUCAUGUCCAGUGUGCCUCAUGAUUUUCCCAUUGGAUUAUUUGGAAGUCCAUGCUAGCUUGUGUGGUGAAAGGUGAC